rfam:Alligator sinensis unplaced genomic scaffold scaffold74_2, whole genome shotgun sequence
GGAUAUAUAGCUUAAUGGUGGAGUAUGUGACUGCAGAUCAGGAAGUUCCUUGGUUCAAUCCAGGUGCUCCCU